UACGUAGGGUGCGAGCGUUGAUCGGAAUUACUGGGCGUAAAGUGUGCGCAGGCGGCCAUGCAAGUCGAGUGUGAAAGCCCCGGGCUUAACUUGGGAAUUGCGCUCGAAACUACGUGGCUGGAGUGUGGCAGAGGAAGGUGGAAUUCCACGUGUAGCGGUGAAAUGCGUAGAGAUGUGGAGGAACACCAAUGGCGAAGGCAGCCUUCUGGGCCAACACUGACGCUCAUGCACGAAAGCGUGGGGAGCAAACAGG
rnacentral:rRNA from 1 species